CUUUUAUGAUGAUAAAAAUUUUAUUCAGUUCUGCUUCUGAACCAAAGAAGGAAGACAAACUAGUUUACCAAAGCUUACUAUUAUCUGAUAC
rnacentral:snoRNA from 1 species